rnacentral:rRNA from 1 species
UACAGAGGUCUCAAGCGUUGUUCGGAUUCAUUGGGCGUAAAGGGUGCGUAGGCGGCGCGGUAAGUCGGGUGUGAAAUCUCGGAGCUUAACUUCGAAACUGCAUUCGAUACUGCCGUGCUUGAGGACUGGAGAGGAGACUGGAAUUUACGGUGUAGCGGUGAAAUGCGUAGAUAUCGUAAGGAAGACCAGUGGCGAAGGCGGGUCUCUGGACAGUUCCUGACGCUGAGGCACGAAGGCUAGGGGAGCAAACGGG